CAUUAUUAUUUUUUUGGUUCAACUCCAUUAUUAUCUUCUCUUGAACCGUUCUUCUCUCUGUGCUAUUACUGUAACAAUCUCUUCCACAUCGCAUCUCAUUACACCAUUCUCUGUUCCCAGUAAAUUAUUUCUUAAAACCAUAUACACUCUUCUCUUGCCUGUGCUUUCUGCUCUCUUUUCUUUCUGAAUACUGCUUUGAGCAAAGCAGCUCUUGCAGGGCAUCUUGAAUCCAGGUAAAGUAUUUUUACUUCAUCUUCUUCGUCUUGUUGGUGUUCUCCUGCAACUAUUGCUUGAAUCUUUUCAAGUAAAGGACAGGUUGUUGUAGGAUAACUAUUACUUAUUUUUUAAUUUAAUUAUUAGUUAGAUUUUAAAAUUUUUAAUUUAAAUUUAAGCUUCCACGCUCUUUCUGUGCUUCCAUUUAUUUAUUUUCUUUUCCUAGAUACAUUCUCUAAACCAUUCUUUUCUCUCAACUUUCUGUUUAAUUUUAGAUUGCUUAAGCAAAGCAGUAACUAGAAGGGACUUGAAGAACCGCUUUUAAUUUGUAGGGGAAUCAUAUUUAUGAUUUUUUUCAUUAUUUUUAUUUUUUAUUGUUUGAUUCAAACAUUGUUAUUUAUUUGCUAAAAAUAAUUAAAAUUGUG
rnacentral:lncRNA from 1 species